rnacentral:rRNA from 1 species
UACGUAGGCAGCAAGCGUUUGUUCGGAAUUACUGGGCGUAAAGAGUGUGUGGGUGGUGUCGUAAGUUUGGUGUGAAAUCUCCCGGCUUAACUGGGAGGGUGCGCCGAAGACUGCGAUGCUGGAGUAUGGGAGAGGAAAGCGGAAUUCCUGGUGUAGCGGUGAAAUGCGUAGAUAUCAGGAGGAACACCGGUGGCGAAGGCGGGUCUCUGGGCCGUAACUGACGCUGAGGAGCGAAAGCGUGGGGAGCGAACAGG